ACCUGGCUGGCUCAGUCGGUGGAGCGUGCGACUCUUGAUCUCGGGGUUGUGGGUUCAAGCCCCACAUGGGGUG
rnacentral:tRNA from 1 species